GCUGGAGAUACUAUUAGGACUUGAGACCGGGAGAGGUUAGAGGUACUCCCAGGGUAGAGGUGAAAGUUCUGUAAAUCCUGGGAGGACCGCCUGUUGCGAAGGCGUCUAACUGGAACGGUUCUGACGGUGAGGGACGAAAGUUAGGGGCGCGAACCGGAUUAGAUACCCGGGUAGUCCUAACUGUAACGAUGCGGACUUGGUGUUGGGUGGCUUUGAGCUGCUUCAGUGCCGAAGGGAAGGCUGUUAAGUCCGCCGCCUGGGAAGUACGGUCGCAAGACUGAAACUUAAAGGAAUUGGCGGGGGAGGCACCACAACGCGUGGAGCCUGCCGGUUUAAUUGGAUUCAACGCCGGACAUCUCACCAGAGGCGACAGCUGUAUGAUAGCCAGGUUGAUGACUUUGCUUGACUAGCUGAGAGGAGGUGCAUGG
rnacentral:rRNA from 1 species